CUUCGGGGCAACAAUAGCAUUGCCACCAGUUGCACAACCCAAGAUGUUGCUGACAGACUGUCCUCUGUGGAAGAGGUUAUAAAAGCAUCUAUGAUUUCAGAAGGGGCAAUAACUCCAAUAACUAACACAGUCUCCAGGGGUGACUCUCAAGCCGUGAAAGUCAGGACAGCGGCAGGAAGCCCCACACCGCCAGCAGGGAUCCUUGGCUGCCAGUGGAAGCUGGGCUUGGCUUUGUGUGGGUUCUGCGCUCCUUCGCCCAGUUUCAAAACCUCCCGCACCUGUGUCUUUCUCCAUGCAAAUGAGCCCAACAGGAAAAACAGGCGCCUGUGGAGGUUUCACAACAACCUAGAAGCUGUCCCAUGCCAGAUCUCUGUCGGUGAGAAAAUGUGUGUGGAUGCUGACUUCUAGAAGACUCCAAAGCGCUUGUCUUCCCCACUCCCCAUUUCCAAAGGCUGAGACUCCUCUGCACUCCGAGUUUCCUCCCACGCUUCGUCUGAAGAGUGGGUUUUGGGGAGUGAAGGAUAGAAAAUAUCUGAAGACUCUUCCCUAUGACUUAAGACAUGAAUUUUCUUCUCAAGUCUUGAACUAAAGUCAGAAAGUGUUUGCAAGAAAUGUUCUUCUAGGUCCCACAUCCACGGGACCAGAUGAUGCCUGGCUCAAUGCAUUCCUAUCUGAAGUGGGGCAGAGAGGCUGGCAGCCUUCUUUACUAACCAGGCCUGGGAUGAGGUCAGGGGACACUGCUCCGUCACAAGCUUCCUGAUGGAGUAGCCAACCUUGCAGAUGGCCCUCGAUGAUCGGCAGUACCUGGUCUUCAUGUGCUUGUGUUGUUCCUCAAUAUUGUCCCUCAAAUGUUGAAUCAGGACUACAGUGGAAAUUAUAAUGUGACUUCUGAGGCCAGGUCAUAAAAGGCAUUGCUGCUUCUGCCCUGGCCUCUUGGAUUGCUUGCUCUGUGAGAAGCUAGCUGCCAUGUUGUGAGGACACUCAAGCAGCUCUGUGGAGAGGCCCAUAUGGAGAGGAACUGAAGGCUGGGCAACAGCCACACCAACUGGCCAGCCAAGGAAAUGAACUAUCUUGGAAGUGGGUCCCUAGCUCCAGCCAGAUGCAUGUAGCCCAGCUAAAAACUGAAUGCACCCUUAGAGCUCCCAAAACAGAACAUUCCAUCCAAGGUGCUCUCAAAUUCUUGAACCAGAGAAACUAGAAGAGAUAACAAUUAUUUUUCUUUUAAGUUCCUAAGUGUUGGGGUAACUUGUUAUGCAGCAAAGCAUAACUAAUAAAUAUUUAGUUCCUAGAAGCAAGAUGCUGCUGUAACAAAAAUCUAAAAAUAUGAGAGUGGUUUUGGGACCAAGAGUGGGAAAAAGUUGUAGAGACCAUGAAGAGAGUGUGAGGGAAAGCCUAAAUGGUCUUAAAGAGACUGUUUUCAGAAAUAUGAUGGCCUUCAAGGAGGCUAUUGGUAAGAUCUUGAAGAAAAUUGAGGAACAUGUUACUGGAAGCUGGAAGAAAGGGGAUUCUUACCCAUGGAACAGCAGAACAUCUAGCACAUUUUGUUAACAUGGAAAAUAGAAAAUGUACCUACUGAACUGGGUGAUCCAGCUAAAAAGAUUUCCAGGCAGAGUGGUAUAGGUGCCACCUUGAUUUUCGUUGCUACUUUGAGUAAAAAUCAGAGGAAAGAUAAGCUAAAGAAGAAAAAAACCUAUUUAUUACAAAAGAGGCAGAAACUGCAGGGUUUGAAAAUGCCCAGUCUGUCAAGGUAACAGACAAUGUGAAAAUUUUAAAAACAUUUUGAGACAAAGAUAAAAUCCAAAGUACAGCCAGAAAAACAGAGCGUAAAGAUGAAACUAAGGUGUGGCUGCAAGGUUUUCUUGUUUAGACCUCAGAACUAUGCAAGGUGUAGUCUUUCAGCCACUUCAUAGCAUCCUAAAGUAGAAAAGAGAUUUGCGGGUGUAGCUUUUGUCUAACAGAGUGAAUGUCAAUAAGAUUCAUAGGACACUUGCAAAAAUUUUAAGAGAAUUUCACUAGCAAAAACAUUGCCAGCUUUGACUGAAUAGAAAAGAAACACUACAAGAUGAACUGAAGACUUCUAUUGGCAAAUAAACUACUCAACUGCAAAAACACGUUUACUUUUAUGAAAAAGAAAAGAUAAUUCAGGGAUUAGAAGCAAGAACCCAGAAGACAGAGCCAAGAGCUGUAAAGAAUCAUUUUCAGCAGUAACAGGACUGAGUCCUGGCCAAGGAACUUGCAUAAUGUUCCUGGCUAGACUUCAAAAUUUAUCAAUAAUAGACAAUCAGUGUACCUAGUAACUACCUGAAGCACACAGAGAAAUCAAAAAGGAUUCAUUAGAGAAGGAAAACUUGCCAAGCAGAGAAGCCAAACCAGUGAUUCAUCCAUGACUCAGUCAUAAAUAAAGUGGCAAGUGGGAUGCUGACUGACUUUGGCACCUGAAUUCUAAGGUGCUACAGAAGUGUGGAUUUUUAUCAACAAACUAACACAGAGUUGAGGUUUUCAACUCCACUACUAUGAGCCCUGGGACUUCCAAAGAGAUGUCUCUCGGUCUUUCUUGGGGAGGAGUAAAGGUGAGGGUUGCUUUCUCCUUCAAUUCAGCUUGAAACAACUCUGCUUUUUGUUCAAAAAUUUAUACACACAUAUGUGUAGUCUUUGUACAUGAAAAUGUAAAGAAGAAAAUAAAAUUGGUACAGAUUAAGCCCAAGACAACUCCUACUUUCAUUAAUAUAAUUGCACGAGGUUAGCAUGGUAGGUGUUCUGAUGAAUAUGCUCCACCUCCAUUCCACCCUCCCUCUAGCAUCCCUGCUUGUAAGGCAGAGGCUAUAAAGAUGAAAAUCAUAUUUCCUGGACUCUUUUGCAGCUAGAUUUCUGGAUGUGAAUUAGAUUCUGCUAAAUGGAUGUACCUGUGUGGAAUUUGGAAGGUGAGGCAGGUGCCAUUGUCCUGCCCCUUUUGGAUGUGAGAGAUGGGGUUUACUGCAGCUGCAACCCCCUGUGCAUUUUCCAGCUUGUUCAUUGUUGAGAAGCAGGUACGGUCAUGUGCUCUCGAACUCUGUGGUUCUAUUGGCAACCUCAGAGUUUGUAGCCCCAUGCAAGGCCAGUUCUGCAUGCUAUGGGAGUCUUUCUUGGAAGAACACAUUGGAUUCCAGUCCCCAAAGCUCCCAGUGGUCUUGCAAGCACCGUGUUUCUUACAUUAAACCCUGGAAUGUUUUCUAUUUCUUGCUUUGAAACUUGACUGAUAUGAUUAAAUAAUUAAACAUUACAGAAAUAAACAAAAAGUAAAA
rnacentral:lncRNA from 10 species